UACGUAGGUGGCAAGCGUUGUCCGGAAUUAUUGGGCGUAAAGAGCUCGUAGGUGGCUUGUCACGUCUGCUGUGAAAACUCGGGGCUCAACCCCGAGCCUGCAGUGGAUACGGGCUAGCUAGAGUGCGGUAGGGGAGACUGGAAUUCCUGGUGUAGCGGUGAAAUGCGCAGAUAUCAGGAGGAACACCGGUGGCGAAGGCGGGUCUCUGGGCCGAUACUGACACUGAGGAGCGAAAGCGUGGGGAGCGAACAGG
rnacentral:rRNA from 1 species